UACGGAGGAUCCAAGCGUUAUCCGGAUUUAUUGGGUUUAAAGGGAGCGUAGGCGGUCUUAUAAGUCAGUGGUGAAAUCUUGUCGCUUAACGACAAACGUGCCAUUGAUACUGUAGGACUUGAGUACAGAUGCCGUUGGCGGAAUGUGUCAUGUAGCGGUGAAAUGCGUAGAUAUCGUAAGGAAGACCAGUGGCGAAGGCGGGUCUCUGGACAGUUCCUGACGCUGAGGGCACGA
rnacentral:rRNA from 1 species